UACAGAGGGUGCUAGCGUUGUUCGGAAUCAUUGGGCGUAAAGGGCGUGUAGGCGGUUUGCUAAGUCAUGUGUGAAGUCCCUCGGCUUAACCGGGGAACGACGCAUGAAACUGGCAAGCUAGAGUACCAAAGAGGGGGGUGGAAUUCCCGGUGUAGCGGUGAAAUGCGUAGAUAUCUGGAGGAAUACCGGUGGCGAAGGCGGCAUCCUGGACCGACAUUGACGCUGAUGAGCGAAAGCUAGGGGAGCAAACGGG
rnacentral:rRNA from 1 species